rnacentral:rRNA from 1 species
GGAUGAGCCCGCGGCCUAUCAGCUUGUUGGUGAGGUAAUGGCUCACCAAGGCGACGACGGGUAGCCGGCCUGAGAGGGCGACCGGCCACACUGGGACUGAGACACGGCCCAGACUCCUACGGGAGGCAGCAGUGGGGAAUAUUGCACAAUGGGCGAAAGCCUGAUGCAGCGACGCCGCGUGAGGGAUGACGGCCUUCGGGUUGUAAACCUCUUUCAGCAGGGAAGAAGCGAAAGUGACGGUACCUGCAGAAGAAGCGCCGGCUAACUACGUGCCAGCAGCCGCGGUAAUACGUAGGGCGCGAGCGUUGUCCGGAAUUAUUGGGCGUAAAGAGCUCGUAAGCGGCUUGUCGCGUCGGUUGUGAAAGCCCGGGCUUAACCCCGGGUCUGCAGUCGAUACGGGCAGGCUAGAGUUCGGUAGGGGAGAUCGGAAUUCCUGGUGUAGCGGUGAAAUGCGCAGAUAUCAGGAGGAACACCGGUGGCGAAGGCGGAUCUCUGGGCCGAUACUGACCU